rnacentral:rRNA from 1 species
GACGAACGCUGGCGGCGUGCUUAACACAUGCAAGUCGAACGGAAAGGCCCUGCUUUUGUGGGGUGCUCGAGUGGCGAACGGGUGAGUAAAACGUGAGUAAACUGCCCUUGACUUUGGGAUAACUUCAGGAAACUGGGGCUAAUACCGGAUAGGAGCUCCUGCUGCAUGGUGGGGGUUGGAAAGUUUCGGCGGUUGGGGAUGGACUCGCGGCUUAUCAGCUUGUUGGUGGGGUAGUGGCUUACCAAGGCUUUGACGGGUAGCCGGCCUGAGAGGGUGACCGGCCACAUUGGUACUGAGAUACGGCCCAGACUCCUACGGGAGGCAGCAGUGGGGAAUAUUGCACAAUGGGCGGAAGCCUGAUGCAGCAACGCCGCGUGCGGGAUGACGGCCUUCGGGUUGUAAACCGCUUUCGCCUGUGACGAAGCGUGAGUGACGGUAAUGGGUAAAGAAGCACCGGCUAACUACGUG